rnacentral:rRNA from 1 species
CCUACGGGAGGCAGCAGUGAGGAAUAUUGGUCAAUGGGCGAGAGCCUGAACCAGCCAAGUCGCGUGAGGGAGUACUGCCCUAUGGGUUGUAAACCUCUUUUGUCGGGGAGCAAAAGCCGGACGUGUCCGGCUGUGAGAGUACCCGAAGAAAAAGCAUCCGCUAACUCCGUGCCAGCAGCCGGGGUAAUACGGAGGAUGCGAGCGUUAUCCGGAUUUAUUGGGUUGAAAGGGUUCGAAGGCGGAUUUUUAAGGUAGCGGUAAAAUCGUGGGGCUCAACCCCAUCCAGCCGGUGAAACUGGGGAUCUAGAGUGUGAGAGAGGUAUGCGGAAUGCGUGGUGUAGCGGUGAAAUGCAUAGAUAUCACGCAGAACUCCGAUUGCGAAGGCAGCAUACCGGCGCGCAACUGACGCUCAUGCACGAAAGCGUGGGUAUCGAACAGGAUUAGAUACCCUUGUAGUC